rnacentral:rRNA from 11 species
UUCUGUGGAUAUAUGCAUUGGUUCUGGGGUCUCCAGAUCCCACCUGAUCUUGGAAGCUAAGAAGGGUGACCCCUGGUUAGAACUUGAAUGGGAGACCAUCAACGAAUAGCAGUUACCAGAAA